AUGAAUGCCAAGAGAGGGAUUCCAGGGAGGUUUGGUAUUUAUGGAAACAUAUUAUUAAUGAGAAAUGUGAAGUUAUUCACAGAUAGGCACACACAGCACCACUUACUGAAAAGCCCGGAUGGUGACAUGAUACUUUACUUCAAAGCUGGCAGUAUUUGGGAAAUAAUGCCUCUGAGUGAAGGAGGAAACAGAGGUCCUGAUUAUUGGGUGAAUUUGAAGCUGUCCCUGAUAUCGGAUCUGGAUGGCACAACCAAGUCUGAUGUCAACCCUGAAAAUUUUGCUGCUUAAAUUAAGAGAUGUUUUGGAGACUUCCUGAGGAUGAUGAGAGGCAUUCAGCAUGGAGCCACACAUGUGGUAAGUACUCAUGAAAUGUUAACUGUUCCUCUUGCUGCUGUUGCUUGCCAUGUCUGUUAGUACUAUAGGCCCAAGCUCAGCAGUGAGGGAGGCUCUGCAGAGGAAUGCAUCGAACAGGCUGUGCACUAUUCAAGACCUUGCUGGCAUGAGAAUCAAAGCAUUACCUCCUCCACCCCAGCAAGCAGUGUUCUCCUCUUUGACUUCAAAUGGGCCUGUGGAAGCUUCUGAAAACUUUCAGAACUCCAUUAUCAUUUUAUGGAGAAGAGAGAAGGUUAGGUUGAUCCCAGGUUACGUCUGUCCCUUUGGCCUCAUAGUCUAAAGCUUGGAUGGCAAAGUGUCAUUUUCAAGACAAGGGCAUUAGUUGAGGUAUAAGAAUUAACCAUAAAGAUUUGGAACUUCAACAUUUAUUUCUCCAUUCAUUCAUUCAUUCAUUCACUCAUUGAACAAGCAGACAUUUAUGGAGCCCUGUUACGUGCUCCAUAAGCACUGUGGUGAGUGCCUUAGAUACAUUAUGUAAGGAGUAGAGGGCUCAGCAGACUCUGUGGUAAUUCCAGGCCCAUCUGGGGUUCAGAGCUUAGCUGGGAGCUGGUGGCGAGGCCAGAAGUAGGAAGUCUGAGCUUGCUUAUCACCCCUGUGUCACUCAUCACUAGUGUUCUUCGUGAGCCCACAUCUCCUUAGAGCACCCACUAGGUCCAACUAGACCAUCCUUUCAGGUUGCACUGGAAUAGUUCAGGGUCCCCAGAGGGCCACACAUUGACCUAGUUGGAAAUGUACGUAGGGCAUCACUUGAGUAAUCUCCCUGUGAUGAUGGGGCAACGAGACCCGAUACUAGAGUUGGGGGUCAUGAGCCUGGGUAGCUGCAUGGAUUCCAUGGCCAAAUGGAAGUCUGGGAGUCUAUCUAAUGAUACCCCCUUCCCAUUCCCUCUCGAUUUCCUGUCUCUGAGAUGGGACCUGUGAUGCACUGGACAGAGAAGAUCUUGAUUAAUGAAUUCCUUAUUCUCAAACGACCUAAACUCACAAUUCAAACAUAUGAAGUCAAUAUAAACUAUUUAUCCCCAUUUUUACAGAUGAAGAAACAGUCUCAGAGAGGGUCACUUGUCCACUGUUUUGCUACAAUCCCAGCUGACCUCACGGAUGCUUUCUAGUCUUCAUUCCAUAAUAUUUUUCCAUUCACAGACAGUCUGUUGUGUUGUUCCUUGCAAUGCCCUGAGCUUGCCGACACUUAUCUGUCAGUGGUGUUUUGAGGAGGCUUGAGGUAGGAGGGGUAAAUAAAGAACAAGAAUCUUCCCUUCUCCUCCA
rnacentral:lncRNA from 1 species